CUCCCUCCCUCCCCAGGAGCAUUAAAAGAAAGGGUGGGGGAACAGGCAGGAUGUUAUGCACAGCCCGGGCGGAGAGCCUUUUCUGGAGGAAGGAAAGACGCCACGGGCGAUCUGCUGGAUCUGAUGCAAUGGAUCUGCGGGAUCUGAUGCAACGCUGAUCGGCCGGAGCGGACGACCCCAAGUUGAGUUGAAGAAAACCAGCCUCUGCCUCCCUGCCCUUGGAAGUACAAAACAAGAUUCUUGCAACCACAGACG